rnacentral:rRNA from 1 species
UACGUAGGUGGCGAGCGUUGUCCGGAUUUACUGGGCGUAAAGGGAGCGCAGACGGAACUGCAAGUCUGAUGUGAAAGCCCGGGGCUCAACCGCGGGACUGCAUCGGAUACUGUGGAUCUGGAGUGCCGGAGGGCAAGCGGAAUUCCUGGUGUAGCGGUGAAAUGCGUAGAUAUCAGGAGGAACACCGGCGGCGAAGGCGGCUUGCUGGACGGCAACUGACGUCGAGGCUCGAAAGCGUGGGGAGCAAACAGGAUUAGAUA